GGGUUCUAUUUUGUUGGUUUCCGAACCGGAGAUAAUGAUUGAAAGGAACAGACGGGGGCAUUCGUAUUGCUGCGUUAGAGGUGAAAUUCUUGGAUCGCAGCAAGAUGAACAAUUGCGAAAGCAUUUGCCAAGAAUGUUUUCAUUAAUCAAGAACGAAAGUUAGAGGUUCGAAGGCGAUCAGAUACCGCCCUAGUUCUAACGGUAAACUAUGCCAACCAGCGAUUCGCCGAAGUUCAUUUAAGACUCGGCGAGCAGCUUCCGGGAAACCAAAGUGUUCCGGUUCCGGGGGAAGUAUGGUUGCAAAGCUGAAACUUAAAGGAAUUGACGGAAGGGCACCACCAGGAGUGGAGCCUGCGGCUUAAUUUGACGCAACACGGGAAAACUCACCCGGCCCGGACACUGGAAGGAUUGACAGAUUGACAGCUCUUUCUUGAUUCAGUGGGUAGUGGUGCAUGGCCGUUCUUAGUUGGUGGAGCGAUUUGUCUGGUUAAUUCCGAUAACGACCGAGACUCUACCCUAUCAAAUAGUGACAGUAUUGUAUUUUUUGUGCUGAUCACUUCUUAGAGGGACUGGCAAAUUGAAAGCUGCACGAAAAAGAGCAAUAACAGGUCUGUGAUGCCCUUCGAUGUCCGGGGCUGCACGCGCGCUACAAUGAAAGCGUCAACGUGAGUUACGUCCUUACCUGAAAAGGUUUGGCAAUCGAAUGAAACGUUUUCUUGAAUGGAAUAGGGAAUUGCAAUUGUUUCCCUUGAACGAGGAAUUCCCAGUAAGCGUGAGUCAUUAGCUCGCGUUGAUUACGUCCCUGCCCUUUGUACACACCGCCCGUCGCUACUACCGAUUGGAUGAUUUAGUGAGGUGUUUUGACUGGCGCCAGUAGUCGGAUGUAUUCGGCUUCGCGCCGGGAAAUUUCCCAAACCAAAUCAUCUAGAGGAAGUAAAAGUCGUAACAAGGUUUCCGUAGGUGAACCUGCGGAAG
rnacentral:rRNA from 1 species